GUCUAUGACCAUAUCCCCCUGCCUGUACCUGAUCUCAUCUGAGUUCAAAAGUUAAGCAGGGUGGGGCCUGGUUAGUACUCUGAUGGGAGUUUGGUACUAUCUAUG
rnacentral:rRNA from 1 species